ACGGGAGGCAGCAGUGGGGAAUUUUGCGCAAUGGGGGGAACCCUGACGCAGCAACGCCGCGUGCGGGACGAAGGCCUUCGGGUUGUAAACCGCUUUCAGCAGGGAAGAAGUUGACGGUACCUGCAGAAGAAGCCCCGGCUAACUACGUGCCAGCAGCCGCGGUAAUACGUAGGGGGCGAGCGUUAUCCGGAUUCAUUGGGCGUAAAGCGCGCGUAGGCGGCCCGUCAAGCGGAACCUCUAACCCGAGGGCUCAACCCCCGGCCGGGUUCCGAACUGGCAGGCUCGAGUUUGGUAGAGGAAGAUGGAAUUCCCGGUGUAGCGGUGGAAUGCGCAGAUAUCGGGAAGAACACCGAUGGCGAAGGCAGUCUUCUGGGCCAUCAACUGACGCUGAGGCGCGAAAGCUGGGGGAGCGAACAGGAUUAGAUACCCUGGUA
rnacentral:rRNA from 1 species